rnacentral:rRNA from 1 species
GACGAACGCUGGCGGCGUGCCUAACACAUGCAAGUCGAGCGAUGAAGCCCUUCGGGGUGGAUUAGCGGCGGACGGGUGAGUAACACGUGGGUAACCUGCCUUGUAGAGGGGGAUAGCCUUCCGAAAGGAAGAUUAAUACCGCAUAACAUCUUUUUAUCGCAUGGUAGAAAGAUCAAAGGAGCAAUCCGCUACAAGAUGGACCCGCGGCGCAUUAGCUAGUUGGUGAGGUAACGGCUCACCAAGGCGACGAUGCGUAGCCGACCUGAGAGGGUGAUCGGCCACAUUGGAACUGAGACACGGUCCAG